AUGGGUCCGGAGCUCCACACCCGAUCCAAUGAGCUUAAGUCUUAAGAAACUUCAGUGCAUACUUCACAUGGAACAACCCAUGGACAAUGAUUGCUUCAACACCGCCGUGCUUAUGCUCGCAUGUGACGAGGGAGUAUUGUUCACAGACCCUCCUAUACACUACAUGGAUCUACGAUUUUGUUCCAUGCUGCUAGAGUCAACACGAGGUUAGAAGUUUUGUGAGAAGGAAACUAUCCAGACGUUGGCAACAUUAUUUGAUAGUUGGCCUGGGGUGGAGACCGAUAUCUCAUCUUGCAAUAAGGUAAAUAAAAUAUUUUGACCAUUGUUAUCAUGGUUUGUUUUUGUUUCUAGUAUCUCCACUUGUACAUUUAUCUUCCCUAUGCAUCCAUCGACCGAUACAUCCUGCACAUCAUCGACAAAGAGGCACGUCGUCCAUAUAUUAUGGACCCUAUUCAAUCAUCACAAUCGUCAGAGGAUAAAAACUUGAGGCAUUCACUGAAAUUAAAAAGUUUUUCAAGGGAUUUCAAAGAAGCACUCGAAAUAAAGCUGCCUGGGUGGAAUUCUGAUAUAUCUAAAUGGCAUCAUUUAUUUCCGGCCGGUGUUCCAACGAGUAUAGACAUGAAUGUGUCUGGCUAUUUUGUUUUUCAUUUUAUGCUCUGGUGGAACGGUACAGAAUUGGUCAAGCCGGUUUGCG